rnacentral:ncRNA from 2 species
UACUAUAAUAUAGGUGUAGGUAUAGGGAAGUCGCUCGCGGCGCACGGUCUCGCCACUGUGAAAAUCGAGCCCGCCAUUCACUGCAAGGGAAGGAUGACGGGCGUGGGUUUACCCGAAGAUUGGAAGUCAGGAUACCUGCCUACGGUUCGCUAUCUUC